GAUUUAAUAGUGUUAGGUUGGACAGAAGCCUAUGAAACGAUCUGGAUCUUGAAAUCAAGCAGCAGGCAGAGAGUCUAAACCCCGGAAGGUAGUGACCUGGGGGAACAAGGACAGCAUUCAGAGACCACGAGCAGGUGUGCUACACAACAGCAGGCUAACGCAAAACAGAAAAUGACAGGGCUGAUAACGGUGAAAACUCUUAACUGCAACAUUGAGCAGGAGGUUUUGUUUGCGGGCUGUUGGGAAAGGUUCUCUCUUGUUUGCAUAGGGUAUGAACCAGACCUUUAUAGGCAGCAAGUGAUACAGUUUCUCUUGGGACUGUAGAGGUGGCUCACUCGUGAAGAGGUUUUGCUGCUCCUCCAGAGGACCUGAGUUUUGUUCCAAGGACCUGCAUCAGAUAUAACUCCAGCUUCAAGAGAUCUUUUACCCUUCUGAACUUACACACAUAAGUACAAAUAAAAUUUUAGAAAAUGACUUGUUUAAUGAAGGACAUAGUUGGUGAUGACAGAGAUUGAACAGGUCUUACCGCUCUGUGGUUCCACAACCCAUCGCCUGUGCAGCCAGGACCUUGGCAGAGAAGUCUCUCCACUAUUUCCUGGAAAGCUACCUUUAUGGAGACACCAGUGAUGCCAACAUCUACCCAGUACCGGGAUGUGUAGCAGUGGUGAUGGGAUGGGGUGAGCCAGGAGACAGGAUCAGAUCUUUUCUCUCCACUGACUCCCUGUGACCCUGGCACGAGCCACCCCUUUUUAUCAUCUGAUUUCACCUAAGAAACAGGAACAUCAGCCUCAUCUCAAAGGAAGCUUUGGUGUUUUAUCUUGGAAAUCUAUGGGCCCAGCCUAGUCUCGGUAUUACUGCAGACAGGACCAACAGGACAGACAACCUAAGAUCCAGGUGAACGAUGUGAAAACCAUGCUCUUUGAACCAGAAAUCCAGAAUCCAGGGCCUGCAACUGUGCCUGCUCCCUACCAUGUGCACACUGGAUGUCUAUGAAUAUGUGCGAAACCAGAUUUAUGAAUAGAAGUUAGAGUGCUUCUAGCUCUCACUGUACUUCUAACUUAUUUGGAU
rnacentral:lncRNA from 1 species